GUUCACUUCAUGAAGUGGACAUCUGUGAAAAUUGGAACUAUAUAGAGAAGGUAAGCUCUUUCUUUGCAAAGAUGACACAAGCUAAUAAGAAAUGGUUCAAAAAUUU